UCUUCUCUUUUUUCUAUUUCUAUUUAUUUUUUUUAAUUUAUUUGAAUUAAUUUUUCCUAAUGCUUUUUCAUAUAUUCUUUUAUAUAUAAUAAUUUAAUUUAAUUACUAAUAACCAUCAUAUUUCGCUUUUUUCUUUUUUUAAAUCAUCUUUAUUAAUUUUUUUUCUCUUUGAAUUUUUUUUUCUAAUUUCUCCUCUCUUUCAUCUUAACCAUCCAUCAAAAUUAAUGUAUAGCUAAAAAGUUAGGAGCACAAAGACUCCUAUGCUAUUGAUAGCACAGUAGCCCUACUCUUAUUUUUAAUUAUUUUAAUUGUUUAAUACCGACACUAUUAACCAUUCACACACACACACACACACACACACACACACACACAUAUAUAUAUAUAUAGUCUGGCUAUGGUGUUUGUAAAAGUACCAAGCACUUGGUGCUUAUAAAUUUUUUACCGUUAAAUCUACGUCUUUGAUCAUUUUCAUCCGUUAGAUUAUACUAUUCAAUAAACCACUCACUCAACCCUAGGGGACCCACAUUAUCCUAACUACACAUCCCUUAAUCCAAUGGCCAAAAAUCUAUAAGCACCAAUAACUUGAUACUUUUAAAAGUAUAGGAGCUCAAUUUUAUAUAUAUAUAUAUAUAUAUAUAUAUAAAAUUGAGCUAGAAUACUUUUACAAGUAUCACCCCUUUGGUGCUAUUAGGUUUUUAGCCCUUGGAUCUACUCUUUGAUUACUAAUAGUCCUUAGAUCAAACACUAUUCUACUUACCACCACCUACCACCAUCAUCUCAACCCUACAUUUCUCCAUCCAAUGGCUAAAAACUUACAAGCACCACCCUCUUGGUACUUUUAGAAGUAUUCUAGCUCAACUGUCUCUCUAUAUAUAUAUAUAUAUAUAUAUAUGAGUUGAGCUAGAAUACUCUCGAUAGUAAAUGGGACGCUUUACUAUCGAGUUGUUUUCGAUGAUAGAGCUUCCAAAUUGACGAUCGGCUCCGUUAAAUAUGAUCUAAACCAUUUAAACUACCUAGAAAUCAAAUUUCACGCACUUUCGAUAUUGUUCUUUUAUCCAUCUAGUGAACAAAAAAUGAAUGGCUGAAAAUGAAUAUUCUUUAAAAAAUGAUGAUAGGAGUCUUGUAAUCAAGAUCAAAAGUAUAGAUCUUGUUUUAAAUAGUUUAAAGAAUUUUCUAACAAAAAUUCAAUUGAUUUGAAUAUCUUUACACCGUUAAACGAGAAAACGUCUCUUAUCCACCAUUAAAAUUACAAAUUUUGAAACCCUUUGAUCAUUAGGCAAAUGAUGUCGAAAAGAUUUGAAAUUUGAUUUCUAAACACUUCAAGUGGUAUAGAUCAUGUUCAACGGAGCCGA
rnacentral:lncRNA from 1 species